ACCUUAUACAAAUGUAUUAAACGCAAGACAGUUUAGCAUUUCCCUGUAAGGUGGUGUUAAGUAGAAACUUUAACGACAAGUGCUAUUGUGUAGCUUUUAAAGUUGAAAUAGUAUGAGUUAAAGUGGAACAGGUUAACCGUAAGACCUUAAGUUGAAAAACUUUAAAAUUGACCUUAAUAGUUUUUAUAACUGUUGAGUUAUGGUAAA
ncrna:unclassified sequences IS605-orfB-I RNA